rnacentral:rRNA from 1 species
UACGGGGGGAGCAAGCGUUGUUCGGAUUUACUGGGCGUAAAGGGCGCGUAGGCGGCCAGCACAAGUCAGUUGUGAAAUCUCCGAGCUUAACUCGGAAAGGUCAACUGAUACUGUGCGGCUAGAGUGCGGAAGGGGCAACUGGAAUUCUUGGUGUAGCGGUGAAAUGCGUAGAUAUCAAGAGGAACACCAGUGGCGAAGGCGAGUCCCUGGACAACACCUGACACUGAGGCACGAAAGCUAGGGGAGCAAACAGG